AUGAACGCUAGCGGCAGGCCUAAUACAUGCAAGUCGAACGGUGUCUUCGGACAUAGUGGCGCACGGGUGCGUAACGCGUGGGAAUCUGCCCUUAGGUACGGAAUAACUCAUGGAAACGUGUGCUAAUACCGUAUGAUGUCUUCGGACCAAAGAUUUGUCGCCUAGGGAUGAGCCCGCGUUGGAUUAGCUAGUUGGUGGGGUAAAGGCCUACCAAGGCGACGAUCCAUAGCUGGUCUGAGAGGAUGAUCAGCCACACUGGGACUGAGACACGGCCCAGACUCCGACGGGAGGCAGCAGUGGGGAAUAUUGGACAAUGGGCGAAAGCCUGAUCCAGCAAUGCCGCGUGAGUGAUGAAGGCCUUAGGGUUGUAAAGCUCUUUUACCCGGGAAGAUAAUGACUGUACCGGGAGAAUAAGCCCCGGCUAACUCCGUGCCAGCCGCCGCGGUAAUAC
rnacentral:rRNA from 1 species